AAGAGAAUAGAAUAGAUAUUUUGUCUGUCAAUUUUAAAGUCUUCUAGGUAAAUGGCGUAUUUAAACGAUUCUUCGAGCGAUAUUUUGACCUGUUCUAACUUAAAAGAUGGUAAAGAAAUUUCAAAGAUAAAUGGAGGGUUUAAAUAUUAUACUUUUGAACUGGUUAAUGAAACGGGGACAUAUUUUUCUGACAUGCUAAGACGAAAGCAGAAAAUAUGUGUAUUGAAGAUUCCAAUUCAGAGUUUUAACGACACCACAAUUUUCGAGACAUUGUCAAUGACUGGGAAGACAAUCUUAUUUUGAACUUCAUAAAACUGAUCUUUAUUUACAAAGUUUAAAUUAUUGCAUUUGCAAAUUGCUUGGUGGCUUCAUAGGUUCCUCCAGUCAUGAUAGUUGCAGCAGGAAUUAAAAUAUUACCUGCUGGUUUAUUGUGCAAAUAUGGUUGAGACUUCCACUGUUCCUCACCUUCAGAUUCCUCAUCUGUAUCUAGUUCCUCAAGAUAGGUAUAAUCAUCAUCACUAUCUGAUGCAGCAAUAUCAUCACUGCUUCCUAAAGAGAUUUCUGAAUCAGAUGAUAUAAUAGGAGUUGUUGUGAUAGGAGUUGUUGUGUUAGGAGU